AUGGCAGCAGGCGCGAAGGCCGACGGGCCGGCGAUCGGCAUCGACCUCGGGACGACCUACGCCUGCGUGGCCGUGUGGCGGCCAGUGCACCAACGCGUGGAGGUCAUCGCUAACGACCAGGGCAACCUCACCACGCCGUCCUGCGUCGCCUUCACCGACACCUGGCGGCUCAUCGGCGACGCGGCCAUGAACCCCGUCAACACCGUCUUCGACGCGAAACGACUGAUUGGUCGACGGUUCAGCGAAGAGUGUGUGCAAAGAGAUAUGAAGUUGUGGCCAUUCAAAGUUAUUUCAGGCAACAGUGAUCGGCCGAUGAUUGCGGUGAAGUAUAAGGGUGAGGAGAGGCAGUUCACAGCCGAAGAAAUAUCCUCCAUGGUUCUUGUCAAGAUGAGGGAGACAGCCGAGGCCUACCUCGACAUCGCCGUAAAGAAUGCUGUUAUCACCGUCCCAGUCUACUUCAACGACUCGCAGCGCCAGGCCACCCUCGAUGCCGGUCUCAUUGCUGGCCUCAACGUCACACGCAUCAUCAACGAGCCCUCGGCCGCCGCCAUCGCCUACGGUCUUGACAACACGUCCGUUAGUGGUGAUGGGAAGACGGUGCUCAUAUUUGAUUUUGGUGGUGGUACCUUGGAUAUCUCUGUCAUAAACAUUGACAAAGGCACAUUUGCGGUCAAGGCCACGUCUGGUGACACCCACCUUGGCGGGGAGGAUCUCAACAACAGAAUGGUGGAACACUUUCUGCAGGAAUUCUUGAAGAAACACAAGAGUGACAUCAGUGGCAGUCCGAGGGCUCUGAUGCGGCUUAAGACGGCCUGCGAGAGGGCCAAGAGGAUGCUGUCUUCUACGGCGCAGGCCAAGUUUGAGAUCGACUCGCUCCAUGAUGGCAUUGACUACUAUGUAUCCAUCACUCGCGCCCUGUUCGAGGAGCUCAACAUGGAUCUCUUCCGCAAGUGCAUUGAGCAUGUGGAGAAGUGCCUCGGUGACGCCAAGAUGGACAAGUCACAGAUCCACGACGUUGUGCUCGUCGGCGGCUCCACCAAGAUCACAAAGGUGCAGCAGAUGCUGCAGGAAUUCUUUGACGGGAAGAAGCUCUGCAACAGAAUCAAUCCUGACGAGGCUGUCGCCUAUGGUGCUGCUAUUCAAGCCGCCAUCCUCAGCGGCGAGCACAGCCAGAAGGUGAAGAACUUUCGCCUGCUUGACGUCACGCCGCUAUCGCUCGGGAUAGAGGUAGUAGGCGAUAUCAUGUCCGUGGUGAUACCCAGGAACACUACCAUCCCCGUUAGAAUGGAGAAGGAUUACACGACCAGCGUUGACAACCAGACCACCGUGCGCUUCUCGGUGUACGAGGGUGAAGGAGGGUUGAUCAAGGAUAACAAUCUGCUCGGGAUGUUUGACCUCACUGGUGUCCCUCCGGCACCGAGGGGCGUGCCAUCAUUCAAU
rnacentral:rRNA from 1 species